rnacentral:rRNA from 1 species
CCUACGGGGGGCUGCAGUGAGGAAUAUUGGUCAAUGGCCGGAAGGCUGAACCAGCCAUGCCGCGUGAAGGUCAGUGCCCUAUGGGCGUUAAACUUCUUUUGUGCGGGAGCAAUAAUGGUCACGUGUGGCCAGACGAGAGUACCGUACGAAUAAGCAUCGGCUAACUCCGUGCCAGCAGCCGCGGUAAUACGGGGGAUGCAAGCGUUAUCCGGAUUUAUUGGGUUUAAAGGGUGCGUAGGCUGUGAGGUAAGUCAGCGGUGAAAUGCCCCCGCUCAACGGGGUGAAGUGCCAUUGAUACUGCCUGGCUGGAAGGCGGAUGCCGUGGGAGGAAGGGGUGGUGUAGCGGUGAAAUGCAUGGAUAUCAAACAGAACACCAAUUGCGAAGGCAUCUCACGAUUCCGCGAUUGACGCUGAUGCAGGAAAGCGUGGUAUCAAACAGGAUUAGAUACCCUUGUAGUC